rnacentral:tRNA from 1 species
GCCCCCGUAGCUCAGUGGAUAGAGCAGCCGCCUCCUAAGCGAAAGGUCGCGCGUUCGACUCGCGCCGGGGGCA